CUACGGGCUGCACCAGUGGGGAAUAUUGCACAAUGGAGGAAACUCUGAUGCAGCAACGCCGCGUGGAGGAUGACACUUUUCGGAGCGUAAACUCCUUUUAUAUAGGAAGAAGAUGACGGUACUAUAUGAAUAAGCGCCGGCUAACUCCGUGCCAGCAGCCGCGGUACUACGGAGGGCGCAAGCGUUACUCGGAAUCACUGGGCGUAAAGAGCGUGUAGGCGGAUUAAAAAGUCAGAAGUGAAAUCCUAUAGCUUAACUAUAGAACUGCUUCUGAAACUCUUAAUCUAGAAUAUGGGAGAGGUAGAUGGAAUUUCUGGUGUAGGGGUAAAAUCCGUAGAAAUCAGAAGGAAUACCGAUUGCGAAGGCGAUCUACUAGAACAUUAUUGACGCUGAGACGCGAAAGCGUGGGGAGCAAACAGGAUUAGAUACCCGAGUAGUC
rnacentral:rRNA from 1 species